UAUCAAUAAGCGGAGGAAAAGAAACCAACAGGGAUUGCCUCAGUAACGGCGAGUGAAGCGGCAAAAGCUCAAAUUUGAAAUCUAGCACCUUCGGUGUUCGAGUUGUAAUUUGAAGAUGGUAACCUUGGGUUUGGCUCUUGUCUAUGUUCCUUGGAACAGGACGUCAUAGAGGGUGAGAAUCCCGUCUGAUGAGAUGCCCAUUCCUAUGUAAGGUGCUAUCGAAGAGUCGAGUUGUUUGGGAAUGCAGCUCUAAGUGGGUGGUAAAUUCCAUCUAAAGCUAAAUAUUGGCGAGAGACCGAUAGCGAACAAGUACAGUGAUGGAAAGAUGAAAAGAACUUUGAAAAGAGAGUGAAAAAGUACGUGAAAUUGUUGAAAGGGAAGGGCAUUAGAUCAGACUUGGUGUUUUACGAUUAUCUUCUCUUCUUGAGUUGUGCACUCGUAUUUCACUGGGCCAGCAUCGAUUMGGAKGGCAAGAUAAUGGCAGUUGAAUGUGGCUUCACUUCGGUGGAGUGUUAUAGCUUCYGCUGAUAUUGCCUGUCUGGAUCGAGGGCUGC
rnacentral:rRNA from 1 species